rnacentral:lncRNA from 1 species
AGAAGUCUCGUGGCUGAAGCUCUGGCGGUGCGCGCGUUUUCUCUUCUUGGCUGCGUUCUUCUCUGGGACCCAAAGUCUAAGGUCCCUUCGUUGCCGCCUCCCCCGGCAUCACUUCCUAUGGCGCCGGCCCUUUGUCCCCGAGAGCUGUUGGCGGCUCCUCUGCCCCCAUCGGGGUUGAUGGUUCCGCUUGCGCCCUUCCGCUUGCCCUUUUGAUCUGAUCUCACUUUUGCCCGACACAGCGCGCCGGAAGGUUUCUCGAACCGGGAGAACGGGAAGCCUGGGCAGUGCGAGCAGACCCGCCCGGCCCUCGGCUUUUCCGGGAGGAAGGCAUAUCUCACUCCCGCGUGCAGCCCGCUAUGAGACAGAAUAGAGGGCCUUUAGUGAUGGAGUAUGGAGAUGACAGUUGUCGUCAUGGAGAAUGUUAGUUAGAAAGCUGUGAUCAUUACAGGCUGGGAAGGGUGCGGUUAGGGCAACACCGUGCAGGAGUCAGUAGGAACGAAUUCAUUGGAGACAAUACUCGCAUUUGAAGGACCUAGAGGGGUUCGUGAACCUCAGCUCGCUCACCCACUAUCUCAUUUUACUUAAAAUAAUCACUACUGAAUUGAAAGAACUAGUUCAUCAUAAGGCUCAAGUAACCGCGGCGCGUUGCCCAAACAUUUCAUUUACAUUCUGGAUGGUCUUCUGAGGGUGUCCUUAAGAAUGGUCUGUAUUAGUCCUGAGCUGAGAAGUCCGAGAUUAAGGGCCUUCCUUCUCUGGCCAGUAGAUGGUAGCCUGCAUCUUUCCGUGGGUUUUUCUUUUGUGCCUGUCUGCACCUGUCAGGUUUUUUAUUUUACAAAAUGUAGUUUUGUUUUUAUGUUACUCUGCUGUUACACAGGGCAUAACAUUUUCAUAAGGCUUUUUUGGGGACUACAGUCAAUGAUUAGCAAACAACUCUCUAAAGAACAAUCACUGAACCAAAUGGAUACCCUCUCACAUGUACACAAAUUUGCAUGGAAAAGUACUAACAUUACUUUAAAUUGCAAUGCACUACAUUUUCCAUAUCUUCGCAGUAAUACAAAACACAGUCGCUUGUAGAACCGGUUCAGAUUACUUAAAUACCAAGUGUGCUGUCAGUCCUCUACUCACGUGUCUGGAAGUUACUCGUGUUUACAUGAAAUGAAGCUAUUGAUACUUUUCUACAGCAGUAACUGCACACCAGGAAGGAGGAGACAACACAAACCAAGGGAUGGAGUUUCCCCAAAGCUGCAGUGUGAAAAGACUAUAUAAACAGUUGAUCCCAUACACACGAAUGGGCUUUCUUGCUAGAGGAAAUCCAAGUGGAAUAAGGAAUGGAGAUGUAAAAAGGUCUUCUUGAGGGGAAGGGGGUUGGUGCCCUGGAUGCCUUUAGUUUUCGGCCCCCUCUGCUGCAUCACAUUCUUCUGCACUGUCUGAUGUCCAUAAUGUUAAGUUGUCUCUAAGCAACUGCAUGAUAAGGGUGCUGUCUUUGUAGGAGUCUUUGUUCAGUGUACCAAGCUCUGUGAUAGCCUCAUCAAAAGCCGUUUUAGCCAGUGUGUAGGCAAGCUCUGGAUUAUUAAGGAUCACAGAGUAAAAUACAGGAAGGUUAAGAGCCAGCCCCAGGCGGAUUGGAUGUGUAGGUUGCAUCUCUUUCUUGCUUAUAUCAAAUGCCUCUUGGUAGGCUCUUUGGGAAUUUUCUAUCAUUUGUUUUCCAUCAUCGCCACAAGCUACUUCAGCAAGAUCCUGGAAAUAAUCUCCAUUCAUUUUCAGAUAGAAGACCUUACUCUCUGGAUUAAUUGCAUUGGCUAUUAAAUACUUACCCAACAAUUCCAGAACCGUGAUGCAGAUGGACCUCAGUUCCAACUCCACUUUCUCCUGACAGUCCUUGGUCAGCUGCAACUUCUUGUUGGAGGUGUCGGUCUUCUUCUCAAUGCUCGAGAUGACCAUCCAGGCAGACCUGCGGCCCUCAACCACGUUCUUGUAGGCCACCAACAGCACGGUCUAGUAACCUCAUUCCAAAUACUACCAUGUUCAGAGAGUAGGGGCUACGAUUUCAACAUAAGUUUUGGCAGCACAUCAUGUCUUACUGAACAUUUUUAAUGAACCAGACGUUAACCAUUGGGCUAGGUAGCUGGAAUGGAAUAGUGAUAGUUUAUGUCCUUGUAUAUUCCUGUCUUUUGGCCAAACUUGUUUUGUCUGAAAUGGAACUUUUAAAACCUGCCUUUGGCAUGUCCUUCUGUUUGUGUUCUUUUCUGUCCUUGUUGCUCUCCCCUCACCACAUCUCUUAUCAUCUGUGGAAGUUCUUUUCAGCUUUCAGCGUUUUGGUCAAGUGUUGUUAUGAAAACCUUCAUCCGUACAAGUGAUUUUGAUGUUUGCAUUUUCUCCUGGGGAAGUGCUUGGAGGGAAGACUCCAGUGAGCACUUGUGGUCAUGGCAAAGUGCUUUGAAGAGCACAGUACGUAUUUCUGAAACGGAAAAAAGAUUUGUUUUUAGGGUUUGAGAUGUUACUUCAUUUCUGAGUGCUUACCUAGCAGCACGAAGCCCUGGGACCAGCGCCCAGCAAGGCAUACAGUGGGCACGGUGGCACGGGCCUGUAACCCCAGCAAGGCAUACAGUGGGCACGGUGGUACGGGCCUGUAACCCCAGCAAGGCAUACAGUGGGCACGGUGGCACGGGCCUGUAACCCCAGCAAGGCAUACAGUGGGCACGGUGGUACGGGCCUGUAACCCCAGCAAGGCAUACAGUGGGCACGGUGGCACGGGCCUGUAACCCCAGCAAGGCAUACAGUGGGCACGGUGGUACGGGCCUGUAACCCCAGCAAGGCAUACAGUGGGCACGGUGGCACAUGAUGGCACGCGCCUGUAACCCCAGCAAGGCAUACAGUGGGCACGGUGGCACGCGCCUGUAACCCCAGCAAGGCAUACAGUGGGCACGGUGGCACGUGCCUGUAACCCCAGCAAGGCAUACAGUGGGCACGGUGGCACGGGCCUGUAACCCCAGCAACUAGUGGCUUUCGGGUUGGAGUUUUGUUUGACUACCUAUUAAGUUAAUGGACAAUUUAGGGUACAUGAGACCCUACUUCAAAACCACUAUUUUUAUUUAUUUUUUUAGUUUAAAACCUUUGGGAUAGGGGGCUGGAAAUGUAGCUUAGUGAUGAGUGUUUGUUUGGUAAUCACAAGGCUCUGUGUACAAUCUCCAGCACCACAAGGAAACAACAGCAAAAGUAAUUUUCUCCAGAAGGUGGAGUCUCAUCCCUCUCCUGGAUUGCAGCACCAGUUUCAUAUUGGGUUGUUUCAUGACUUGAUUUCAAGGUGCAGGGUAAAGAAAGGAUAUCCUGGGCUGGGGAGAUGGCUCAGUGGUUAAGAAAACUGCCUGCACUUCCAGAGGUCCUGAGUUUAAAUCCCAGCAACCACAUGGUGGCUCACAACCAUCCGUAAUGAGAUCUGACGCCCUCUUCUGGUGUGGUGGUGGCAUCGCAUGC